UCCGUAGGGCGCAAGCGUUAUCCGGAAUUAUUGGGCGUAAAGAGCUCGUAGGCGGUUUGUCGCGUCUGCCGUAGAAACGUCCGGGGCUCAACUCCGGGAUCUGACGGUGGGUACGGGCAGACUAGAGUGAUGUAGGGGAGACUGGAAUUCCUGGUGUAGGCGGUAGAAAUGCGCAGAUAUCAGGAGGAACACCGAUGGCGAAGGCAGUGUUCUGGGCCGAAACUGACGCUGAGGAGCGAAAGCGUGGGGAGCGAACAGG
rnacentral:rRNA from 1 species